rnacentral:piRNA from 1 species
UGAUGUCAUGAGAAUUCAAGCAUCCUCACGA